GUUUUUGUUUGGUUUUUUUUUUUAGAUUUCAGUACCCUUUCUGGAGGAAAAAGAGAAACAAUCCAAGAAAACAAACUGACAUUAGAAUUGUGGUCAAGAAGAGUUCCAGGAAAACAAAGGGGGGAGGGGUGGGGGUGCUUUAGCGUCUGGAGUUUCAGUGGCAAUUUUAGUAAAGGCAGUGGGAGCAACUCUGCCCCAAAUCAGCCAACGCAGCAAUCCUCGUGUCCAGGCUGCCCUAGGCCUGUGUUCACAAGUCAGAGGUUGCCUCUGAAGGACGCAUGGACAGUGUUGGGACUCAAGCCACCCACAGGCCAUUGCAUGACCACACUGCCGGAGGAAGGGCUCCUUCUGCUGCACGGCCAGAGCGGGGGUGUUGCGUCCAGCAGACACGUGGCCCAGUCUCUGCCAUCACCUUCUGUCCAUGUGGCCUCGGCAGGGCAGGGAACCCUCGGCCUCAGGAAGCUCGUCUGUAAAACAGGGAGGAUAAUAACACACCCUCGUGGGGCGGCGGCGAG
rnacentral:lncRNA from 1 species